GUGGGGAAUUUUGGACAAUGGGCGCAAGCCUGAUCCAGCAAUGCCGCGUGCAGGAAGAAGGCCUUCGGGUUGUAAACUGCUUUUGUACGGAACGAAACGGUCCUGGUUAAUACCUGGGGCUAAUGACGGUACCGUAAGAAUAAGCACCGGCUAACUACGUGCCAGCAGCCGCGGUAAUACGUAGGGUGCGAGCGUUAAUCGGAAUUACUGGGCGUAAAGCGUGCGCAGGCGGUGCUGUAAGACAGGCGUGAAAUCCCCGGGCUCAACCUGAGAAUUGCGCUUGUGACUGCAGUGCUGGAGUACGGCAGAGGGGGAUGGAAUUCCGCGUGUAGCAGUGAAAUGCGUAGAUAUGCGGAGGAACACCGAUGGCGAAGGCAGUCCCCUGGGCCUGUACUGACGCUCAUGCACGAAAGCGUGGGGAGCAAACAGGAUUAGAAACCCCAGUAGUCC
rnacentral:rRNA from 1 species